AGAGUUGUAUCCUGGCUCAGAAGGAACGCUGGCAGCGUGCAUAACACAUGCAAGUCGAACGUGAGUACUCUUCGGGGUAUGAAAGUGGCGAACGGGUGAGUAACACGUAAGAAUCUACCUUUAGGACGGGGAUAACUUCUGGAAACGGAUGCUAAUACCCGAUAUGCUGUGGAGUGAAAGAAUUUCGCCUAAAGAUGAUCUUGCGUCUGAUUAGCUAGAUAGGGUGGUAACGGCACACUAUGGCGACGAUCAGUAGCUGGUCUGAGAGGAUGGACAGCCACAUUGGAACUGAGACACGGUCCAAACUCCUACGGGAGGCAGCAGUGGGGAAUUUUCCGCAAUGGGCGAAAGCCUGACGGAGCGACGCUGCGUGAAGGAUGACGGCCUGCGGGUUGUAAACUUCUUUUCUCGAAGAAGAAUAAAUGACGGUAUUCGAGGAAUAAGCAUCGGCUAACUCUGUGCCAGCAGCCGCGGUAAGACAGAGGAUGCAAGUGUUAUUCGGAUUGAUUGGGCGUAAAGCGUCUGUAGGCGGUUUGAAAAGUCUUUUGUGAAAUUCUUCGGCUCAACCGGGGGUCCGCAAAAGAAACUUUCAUACUUGAGGGAAGUAGAGGUACAGGGAAUUUCCGGUGGAGCGGUGAAAUGCGUAGAUAUCGGAAGGAACACCAAUAUGGCGAAGGCACUGUACUGGGCUUUACCUGACGCUGAGAGACGAAAGCUAAAGGAGUGAUUAGGAUUAGAUACCCUAGUAAUUUUAGC
rnacentral:rRNA from 1 species